ACGAACGCUGGCGGCGUGCUUAACACAUGCAAGUCGAACGGGAUUUAGUAAACGGAAGCCUCGGUGGAAGAUUACUAAUGAGAGUGGCGAACGGGUGAGUAACGCGUGAGCAACCUGCCUAUGAAAGUGGGAUAGCCUCGGGAAGCCGGGAUUAAUACCGCAUAAAAUCGUAGAAACACAUGUUUCAACGGUCAAAGAUUUAUCGGUCAUAGAUGGGCUCGCGUCUGAUUAGCUAGUUGGUGAGAUAACAGCCCACCAAGGCGACGAUCAGUAGCCGGUCUGAGAGGAUGAACGGCCACAUUGGAACUGAGACACGGUCCAAACUCCUACGGGAGGCAGCAGUGGGGAAUAUUGCACAAUGGGGGAAACCCUGAUGCAGCGACGCCGCGUGAACGAAGAAGGUAUUCGUAUCGUAAAGUUCUGUCCUAUGGGAAGAUAAUGACAGUACCAUAGAAGAAAGCUCCGGCUAAAUACGUG
rnacentral:rRNA from 1 species